ensembl:snRNA U6 U6 spliceosomal RNA
GUGCUCAUUUCGGCAGCACAUGUACUAAAGUUGGAAUAAUACAGAGAAGAUUAGUAUGGCCCCCGCGCAAGGAUGACACACAAAUUCAUGAUGCGGUCCUUUAAAAA